rnacentral:SRP_RNA from 1 species
GACCGGGCCCUGUGCGACAGGAGACUGCAAACCCCGCCAGAUCCGGAAGGAAGCAACGGUAAGCAAUCUCUCCUGGGUGCCGCAGGUCGCCUGGUCUUC